rnacentral:lncRNA from 1 species
UGAAAUGGGCACACCUAUGUUCAUAGCAGCAUUAUUCAGAGUAGCCAAGAGCUGUCCAUUGACAGAUGAAUGGGUAAGCAGAACACGGUCUACCCAUACGAUGGAAGAGUAUUCAGCCUUAAAAAAGGAAGGAAAUUCUGACACAGGCCUCGAAGACAUUAUGCUGAGUGAAAUAAGGCAGUUACAAACGGACACAAACAGGAUGAUUCCGCUUAUAUGAAGUCCCUGGAAAAGUGAAAUUCAUAGAGAUAGAAAGUAGAAUGGGAGGCGCCAGGGGCUGGGAGAGGGAGACUGGGGAGUUAUUUGAUAUUUCAGCAUUUCAGUGUGUGAAGAUAAGAAAGUUCUGGAGGUGGAUGGUGGUGAUGGAUGCAAAACACAUUCCUCGGUAUUUAAGGAGCUGGAAAUUGAUGUCCCUGCAGAAACCUGCGCGUAGAUGUGCAGCUCUAUUCAUAAUCGCCGAAACUCGGCAGCAGUCAAGAGGCCCAUCAGUAAACAAAAGGAGAAAUCAACUGUGGUCCAUCCAGACAGUGGAGUAUUAUUCAACACUGAAAAGAAAUGAGCUUUCAAGCCAUGAAAAGACAUAGAGGAAAGUUAAAUGCAUGUUACUGAGUGAAAGAAGCCAAUCCGAAAAGGCGACAUACUGUACAAUUCCAACUCUGAGAUUCUGGAAAAGGCAAAACUGAGGAGACAGCAUAAGUUCCCGCUGAGGCUGGCCAUGGCACAGGCUCAGCUGAGGGAGACGGGACUUCAGUCCAGACGAGAGUGACCCGGAGACGACGCAAGCCAUGGUCGGGGCAGGGCACUCACCAAUGAAGGACACGGCCUUGGUGUUGAUGAUGCCGCUGGGCAGCAGGUGGAAGUCGUACUCUUUCCCAU